ACAAGACGGCCAUUUAUUACCUACCUUCAAAGCCAAAAGUAGCGGUACCUGUGCCCUAAUAUAUGCAACAUUGUUGCGAGUGUAUAUAAAUACUCCUCAGCAAAUCACUAUCAUCAACAGUCAUUCUUUUACAUUGUAUCAUUGCACAAAUUUCAUAUUUAGUGAAUUGUUUACCUUGAUUUAAAUUCAAACAAACAUCAAUAUGCAGAUUAUGUACUUCAUCGGUUUCGCGGUUAUGACGAUUUUAGCUACUAGUCUAAUGGUGAUGGCCAUACCAAAGCCCAUCAGUCAAGGAGCGCUUGCAUCAUUAGCUGGCAAAUGAAGAUGCGUUUCAGCGUUUCAACUGAUCAACUGUUUAUCUGAUUCCUGCUUAAGUAUGUAGGUAUUCUAAUCUAUGCUUUACCUAUAUGAUUUUAAACUGAAACCUAUCUAUUAGUAUUUAACCCAAAUUAAGCAAUAUUAUGUGCGCACAUAUUUUCAAUUUAUUUAAAUAAAAAGUUCAAGCAUUA